CACUUACGUUUUUUCGCUAACGUAUCAACCAUGAAGAAGGGAUUAGUACUUGGAGUGUACGAGACAGACGACGAGAACAAAGUUGUACUUACUUCGACAGCAGCAAAAUAUAAUGAGCUUGUUAAAGGCCAACUGUGGAAAUACAUCUUGCUGAGUGACUAGACUGAGAGACGGUAUUAUACACAUGAUAUGAAGCGCAACUUGCUCCGCACAAGGAUUUCCUAGAAACACGCUGCGCUUUAUAAAUGAAAAUAUAAUACUGCCUGUUUUAUUCUUUUCCUCGCUUGAUGAUUCGAAUGCGCCUAUUAGGAAUAUUUCUGUACGUAAAUCGAAGGCGCUGCGGGACUUUUCUUUUGACUUAAUCAUUGCUGCUUCAAGAAACUAACGGAAAUCGAGUAAAAUAGUAAUGUCGACUCUUGGCGACGGUAAUAUGGGGAAUGAUAGCAGCGCAGGGAGCAGCGGUGGAUUAGGCGAAGGUAGCGGUAAAACGAGUAAACAACCGGCGAACGUGUUGCAAAGGAUAACAGGGAUAUUAGAAGAUAAGAGCAACGAUUAUUUGUGCCCAAUUUGUUUCGACCUUAUCGACGAGGCACAUAUCACGCGUUGUGGACACACAUUUUGUUACAGUUGUAUCGUGAAGUCCUUAGAAACCAAAGAUCGUUGUCCAAAAUGUAGUUUCACGUUGAGCCAACAGGAUAUUUUUCCGAAUUUCUUGUUACAUGAACUAAUAUUAAAAUAUAAAAUGAGGACUAAGGGUCUCGCACAGAUAGGUUCUUACGCGACAGAUAGUAGACGCAGAUCAGCAGGCACUGAUUCGUUGUCGUCUGCGUGUGACGGUUUGAGAAACAUCGUGGCUGCGGAAAGCGCUAAUCUCACUCUACCCGACGUGAAUGUGAUGUUGGAAGUAUUGACUCAACGGAAGCAUUUGCUCGAAGCAGAGACUUGUACAGCGCAGAAUAAACUGCUGCACGAAUUUUUGAAACACCUGCUGCAACAGAAAGAGGAACAGAAAAAUCAGUUACAGAAGGAGGUAGCGUUAAUCAAGAAAGACAUGGCGGAAGUGGAAAAUAUUUUGAAAGAUGUUCAGAGCAAAUGUCCGCGAGUGGAGGAUCUGAAGAAAAUCAGUGAGCACGAGACAGCGCAGGUUUCCGCUAUUAGGAAAGAGAUGCUCGGCCUUAUAGAUAUAAUAGACUCAAAUAUGGUAAAACCUAGCGAUAAAGCAACUGGCAUGACCGAUAUUUUCUUCACAAAUCAUCCGGGCGGAUCUGCUCAGAGACAGAGCGAAUUUUCCGGUGGCUCAACCUUAGCCAUACGUCGAAAGAGAUUGCACGCACAUUUUGACGAUUUUGUGCAAUGCUAUUUCGAUUCGCGCGGUAAAGAGUUACUGCUUGGUCAGAAGUCGCAGUCGUUACAAAGUGAAACGCAACAGCACGGCGGUGUGCAUAGCACGAGCUCUGGUUUGGAUGUGUUCCGUGAAAAUCUGGUUAAAUUCUCGCGGUAUAAUUCGCUGCGAUCAUUGGCUACACUCAACUAUUCGUCGGAUAUCUUCAAUAAUUCUACCAUCGUAUCUAGUAUCGAAUUUGAUAAGGAUAACGAGUUUUUCGCGAUUGCUGGUGUUACAAAACGCAUCAAAGUAUUCGAUUAUGGAGCUGUUAUACGAGACACUGUAGACAUUCACUAUCCGUGUGUCGAAAUGGUCUCGAGUUCAAAGAUCUCGUGUGUCUCCUGGAAUUCUUUUCAUAAGGGGAUGUUAGCCUCUUCAGAUUAUGAGGGUACGGUGACUGUGUGGGACGCCACAACGGGUCAACGUACAAAGGCAUUUCAAGAACAUGAAAAGCGAUGCUGGUCUGUGGACUUCAACGAUGUAGAUACGAGAUUAAUUGCAUCUGGUUCCGAUGAUGCUCGUGUCAAAUUAUGGGCACUGAAUACGGAUUACUCCGUAGCGUCAUUAGAAGCAAAAGCCAAUGUUUGUUGUGUCAAGUUCAAUCCGCGUAGUUCGUGUCACCUGGCCUUUGGUUCUGCAGACCACUGCGUGCAUUAUUACGAUUUGCGUAACAUGAAAGAAGCGUUAUGUAUAUUCAAGGGUCAUCGUAAGGCCGUAUCUUAUGUUAAAUUUAUCAACAAAGAGGAGAUCGUGUCUGCUAGCACAGAUUCGCAAUUGAAAAUGUGGAAUAUUAACAAUCCACUUUGCCUGCGUUCCUUCGUGGGACACGUUAAUGAGAAAAACUUUGUUGGCCUUGCCACCGAUGGUGAUUAUGUCGCUUGCGGGUCUGAAAAUAAUGCACUGUAUGUGUAUUAUAAAGGUUUGACGAAGCAACUGUUUUCGUACAAAUUCGAUGCAGUGCGAAGCAUACUGGAGUUACAGGACAGAAGAGAGGAGGAUUUGAACGAAUUCGUGUCCGCAGUCUGCUGGAGACAGAUGUCCAAUGUUGUGGUAGCCGCUAAUUCCCAGGGAAUUAUUAAAAUUUUAGAACUUGUUUGAGACAAUUAGGAAGAACUGGUCGAGCAGGUGGCUAAAUGAAAUACUACUAAUUUAAAUUAAAAAGGGUUUAAAUGACAAGAGGAUAAGAAAUUAACAAAUGAACAAUUUAAUGUGUGCGUGAAGUGUUACUUAUACGAAAUUAAAGAAUUUAAUUUAAUUAGAAUUAAUAAUUUAACUGAAAGAACUCAGCAAAUAUGGUGACAUCAAAUGACGUAUUAAUAACGUUAGGGACGUUAUUAAUAUAUCAUUAAUAUGUCAUUUUACAUUAUCCUACUACUUUGAGAAAGUUCAGCUUUGACUUUCGGCUUGAUUUGAUGAUAUCUAAAGCACUGUAUAUAAUACAUCAUAGGCGGUUAACGCGAAAAUAACGUAUUAUUUUCGAUAAGGUAUUAUAUUCUUUUGAUAUUUUUGUUUCUUGUUUUAUUUCUUUUUCCCUAUUUUAUAUUCUUAGAUCCUUUUUAUUUUCUGAUAUUGAAAUUUUACGAUAAUGCAAGGAUAAGUAACAAUGAAAAACAAUUGAAUCAUUCUAAAUAACAUGACAUUUAAUUCUAAUGAUUUAUAGAAAGAAUUUCUAAUGCAAUGAAAUUUAAACUGUCAGGCUGAGUGGUAUAAAUAUCAUAUCUUGACAGUCAGGAUAGUAAUGCGACAUUAAAAAUGAAUAUUAUGCAGAUGAUGAUCUUUGAUUGAUCUAUGCUCAAUAUACUGCGGAGCACAAAUAUUUUCGCUAUGUACUGUAUGCUGUAUAUAAGUGUGAAAAAGAAAGUAGAAGGUGUGCCGGACAUGAAAAUAAAAUGCGUUCGAGUAAGUGAUACCUAUAAAUAUUUAUAAGAGAAUGUGCGAUUCUAUAUACAUUUCUUAUACACAAAACGAUAGUUAUAUGUACAUAUGAUAGUAUGUGUGAUGUAUGUGAGUGAAUACUAAAGUUUUUCUAAUAGUGCUUUUUCAAACGUUAUGUAUCUGUUCUCGAUAGCGACCUUUGAAUUGAGGAUAAUAUAAUUGCGUGAUAACGCUAAAUUUUCUUUAGCGUUUAUUAAAUACGGAGUUGCUGUUUAAAUUUUUGUAAAAUUUCAGUUUUCAUAAAGUGUAAAGUUACAUAACUUUUUAUUGGCAUCUUCUAUAGUAAGUUACUGAUAUGAAAUUUUCAACUUGAGAAGUGAUUUCUCAAUAUCAUGACUUUACAUGAUUUUAUAAAAAAAAGCUUGAUAAAGUGCAAUCAGUAUCUUGUGAAUAAAUAUUUUCUCGCGACGAUAACAGUAUCUACAGAUAGCGCAUAUUUUGGUUGAGUACUUUGAUACGUAACUCAACGUUUUAUUACUGUACAUCAAAACUUUAUUAUAAAAUAGUAACUAUUGUAGAAAUACUUUAACUUUAUUAUGUACGAACGAGAUGAUUAUAAAAGGAGAUUGAGAUAUUCAUUACAUGUUAUUCAUUCUAUAAGCAAUACAAAGUUUAUUAAUCUGUACGUGUAUGUACGUUCGCGUACAUGCACGAAUUCUAACGUGCCAAAAUGUACAAAAGGCAAAUGCAAAAAUGAAUAUUAUGGUAAAUAUAUUAUUCGCAUAGAUUUUUGUAGCGGGAAAAUAGUAAAAAAGAAGUACAUUUUAUCUUCUUUUAUACAUUUGUGUCAAGUUUUUGUCAUAAAUAUUAAUUAGAAACGUAAUUUUUUAUUAUUAUUAAAAGAAAUUAGUUAAAUGUAAGUAUACAUCCAUUGUAUAAUUAUGUCAACUAAAACUCCAUAACAAAAUCGUAUUAUUCUAUUAUAGUAUGUAUAAUAUAUAUAGAGGAAGUUAAUAUUAAAAUUUCUAAACAUAUUGUAUUGUACUGUAUAUUAAAUCACUACUAAAUAGAUUGUAACAUAUUCACAAAUUUAACUUGUUAGUGGAAACUGAAUGUGGAACAGCUAUCUGUAAUGUAUUGACGCCGGUACAAAGCGAAUUCUACUGUAGAUUAGAAAACAACAGUUGUGAAUGUCACAGUUGUGAGUUAAUGUGUAGUUCACGAAGAGAAUAAUUGUAAAUGUAGUCAUGUAUGAGAUGUAACUGGAUGGAGAAAAAUAUUCUAGAAUAAAGAAUAGUAUAUUUUUAGAAUGUAUUUUGAAAUUGCGAAUUAUCAUAAUAUGUGUAAUGAAUGUUAAGAAAAGGAAAAGAAAUGCCUAGAUUCUAUUACAAUUAAUAAAUUCACGAUUUUGUGUCUGCGAA